rnacentral:rRNA from 1 species
UUUAUGUCCGGUGAAGUGUUCGGAUCGCGGCGACGUGGGCGGUUCGCUGCCCGCGACGUCGCGAGAAGUCCACUGAACCUUAUCAUUUAGAGGAAGGAGAAGUCGUAACAAGGUUUCCGUAGGUGAACCUGCGGAAGGAUCAUUGUCGAAACCUGCAUAGCAGAACGACCCGCGAACAAGUUUGUAACUCCUUAUUCUCGAACGGGAUUAGUCUUCUCCUUAUGGUAGGGCUAAUCCUGGACGAACAACGAACCCCCGGCGCGGAAUGUGCCAAGUAAUACCAUAACUAGACUGUCUGCCCCCCGUGCUCCGUUUGCGGAACCUGCGGGGGGUCUCGACGUCUUAAUUAACAAAAAACGACUCUCGGCAACGGAUAUCUCGGCUCUCGCAUCGAUGAAGAACGUAGCGAAAUGCGAUACUUGGUGUGAAUUGCAGAAUCCCGUGAACCAUCGAGUCUUUGAACGCAAGUUGCGCCCGAAGCCGUCAGGCCGAGGGCACGUCUGCCUGGGCGUCACGCAUCGCGUCGUCCCCAUUCUCAACCUCGUGUCGAGCAAUGGGGAGCGGAAGAUGGCUUCCCGUGCCCCAAAUCAGGACGCGGUUGGCCCAAAUGCUAGUCCCUGGCGAAGGACGUCACGGCGAGUGGUGGUCGUACCCAGCGUGCAUAUCGUCACGUCGUGGCCCUUCGUUUGCAGGACUAAUGACCCUUUCGAGCUCCUCUUGUUAGAGCGGGCUCUACGACCGCGACCCCAGGUCAGGCGGGACUACCCGCUGAGUUUAAGCAUAUCAAUAAGCGGAGGAAAAGAAACUUACCAGGAUUCCCCUAGUACGCGAG